CGAUCGUUCUUUUGCAUCAAAGAUUAACACAUGCAUGUGUCAGAUUAAAAGACUUAAUCUUGAAUCUGCGAAUGGCUCAUUAUAUCAGUCAUAGUUUACACGGUAAUGAAAAGCUACACGGAUAACUGUGGCAAUUCUAGAGCUAAUACGUGCGUCGAGGCGUCUUUCCUCUCGGGGGAGGGCGUCGUAUUUAUUAGCCUCAAAACCGACUCCGCUCGCAAGGGCGGGUUUUUGGUGAAUCAUGAUAACUGAAGCGAACCGGUGCGCCUUUACGGCGGCGGUGAACCGUUCAAGUUUUUGCCCUAUCAGCUUUCGAUGGUCGGGUAUUGGCCUACCAUGGCGUUGACGGGUGACGGAGAAUUAGGGUUCGAUUCCGGAGAGGGAGCCUUAGAGACGGCUC
rnacentral:rRNA from 1 species